rnacentral:rRNA from 1 species
AGUGAACGCUGGCGGUAGGCCUAACACAUGCAAGUCGAACGGCAGCACAGUAAGAUCUUGCUCUUACGGGUGGCGAGUGGCGGACGGGUGAGGAAUACAUCGGAAUCUACUUUUUCGUGGGGGAUAACGUAGGUAAACUUACUCUAAUACCGCAUACGACCUACGGGUGAAAGCAGGGGAUCUUCGGACCUUGCGCGUUUGAAUGAGCCGUUGUCGGAUUAGCUAGUUGGCGGGGUAAAGGCCCACCAAGGCGACGAUCCGUAGCUGGUCUGAGAGGAUGAUCAGCCACAGUGGAACUGAGACACGGUCCAGACUCCUACGGGAGGCAGCAGUGGGGAAUAUUGGACAAUGGGCGCAAGCCUGAUCCAGCCAUACCGCGUGGGUGAAGAAGGCCUUCGGGUGGUAAAGCCCUUUUGUUGGGAAAGAAAAGCAGCAGGUUAAUACCCCGCUGUUCUGACGGUACCUAAAGAAUAAGCACCGGCUAACUUCGU